rnacentral:lncRNA from 1 species
CACAGGCUUGAAGGCCUUCCAAGGCCCGUAUCUGAGGCCUAGACCGAAGGAGCUCAAAUCUCAUUCCAAACAUAAAUCAUGCCCUCUCUCUUUCAGAAAUCCUCCAACAGAUGUGAGAAUAACUUCCUGAAGGCAACAGAGAGCUGGGUGUGAUCCUAAGCUGAGUUGUCCAUGAGCCCUCUGGAUGUGGGUGAAAUUGCAAACCAUGCCUGAGGUACAGUGGUGUAAAGGGAUGAUGUGGGCAGAGGCCCAGAUCCACACUUCCAUGCCAGAUGGCAGCUGCGGAGGAGUUCCAAGUUCUAGCAGCAAUGGAUGGGAAGAUAAGUGCCUCUUGAGAAGGGAAAGCCAGAUUGCAGAUUCCUUUCAAUUGCACCUGAUGACUUAUAGCCAGUCACUAAUUGGUUUGCCCAUACACGGCGGCAUAUUCAGAAUCCAGCAGCAGUGCCUGACUUUGUCUGGAGCUCUGCUCUUCCUGCAGAGAUGACUGCUAAAAUAAACCCUUGCAGAGAAAAAUAUUUUAUAUGAAGCUCUGGGAAAAGCACACAUGGCGGGGGAGUGGGGGUGGGAGGUGGGGGGGGGGGUGGUGUUUAAAUGGGUUUGGUUUGGUUUUGGUUUUUUUUGUUUUGUUUUUGUUUGUUUUUUUUUCUUUUUUGGGAGUGUUUCAUUUUGUUGUUUGUUUUUUUUCAUUUAGGAGAGCCAUAAAAUCUUUUGUAACUGUCAUUGUUAGUUAUUAAUGCAAAAUAGUGUAGCUGGCUGUGAUAUGCUAACAGUUGACAAUAUAUGCAUAUUAAAACAGAGACAGAAAUGACAAAUAGAGCUUUGUCUAUUUUUCAUUAAAGAUAAGAAUGUCUUCAUAAAAAUCUUCCUUUCCCACAUAUUUCUGAGUGCAUUUUCAUUUUAGUCCUGGAUGGGGCAUUUUACUUGUUUUGAUAGCAUCCUGAGAACAAAGAGAGCCAGCUAUGAAAAACACAGAAUAACUCGGGAACAAGAAACUGCUGGUUGUUCUCACCACUUGGAGGCCAUGAGCAGCUGAAGUAUCUCUGGAGUUGCAGAGCAGUGUUGAUGAUUGCCAUUGUUGUUGAUGAAAGACAAAAGCUGUGUGUAAUGGUACAGCCUACAGCCAAGCUUGCAGUAAGCCCUUUAAAAGGUGAAGUAUGCACUCAGGAAACAGCAUUCCUCAUGCAGUGAAUGUCAGUAAUUUUCCAGCUAACACAGAACAAGCAUUAUCUCCUGAACUCAUCAACGGAAAGCAUUUUCACUAGAUGUGUUUUACUGAAUGCAGUGACAACAUAACAGUUAUGUGGUAACAUAAAAAAACCCCAGCUGUCUGUGUUAUAAAUUAUUAUUAGUUCUCCUGAAGAAAAAAACAGGGGAAAACAGGCUCUGUAAUUAAGAUCUUCAGUGUCCACCAUCUUUGUUACCCAUGUGCCUGUGAUCACAAUCUCAACAAAACCAGAGAUGAAGCUGUGAGUGUGCAGCAAGUCAGGGCUGUAACACCACACAAGUGCGUAAAGAGCACAUCUUGUUAAAUAAACAUAAAGUAAAUAAAUCACUGGGAACUAAUGGUGCUAACCAAUGGUAUUCUCAACAAAGAAGGCUGUGAAAGAGUGGAAAUAUUCCCAAGUACAGCACAACCACAUUAAACAUGUGGAGAGAUCACCAGGGAAAACCCAACACUUCAACUGGACCAUGAAUUGAAUUCAUCUCUUGCAAGUUAUUGUUUGCUUCACAAAAUCGCUAAAUUGACUUUGCCUGUUGAGGGCCCCAUCAGUAAAAGAUAAAAUAAAAUCACAGACCAGCAUCCAAUUGCAAAUGAAAUUGUUUAACACUUGGAUAGCUGUGUAGUCAAAUCCACAGUCCACAGGGAAAUGAUAUUUAGACAUCUCAAAUGUGUUAGAAAGCAAAAAAUGUAGAUUCCUAAAAAUCCUAGUUCAUGUCUUCUCAGUGUUUUACUUUGGUUUUGCUCCAGACCUAAAGGAGAAUGGGGUACUUGCAGUGGCCUCACCUCUAGAGCUGAGUCAAUGGCCUUGUAGCUGACAUGACUUGAAAUUCUUUCUUGAGGUGGGAAGAAAUUCUCCUGCUCAUCAGCAAACACCACAGGGUGGUUAGGUGAAAAAAGCACUUGUGUAGCAGAACACUCUCGCUUUUGGGUUUGAUGAUAGCAGUGAAGAGUCACUUAUCCAAUACAGGGCAGGUCUGCCGCUAUUCCUCAAGCAGAAUUUAACAAAUGCUGCCCUGGGUUUGUGUGAGUGAGUGACUGCUGUGAUAGUGCACCCUCAGAAUGGGGCUUUGGGAGCAGUGCACUCACUUGGGAUCUCUGCAGAGUGAUCAGUGUAGUGGGGUCUGUCAUGGCUGUGGCAAAACUCUGACCUUGUUUGAUAAAUGCCUCUCAAAACAUAGCUGUGUAUUGGUGAAUGAAAAUGUUUGGCGUGCUUUGUAUUCUAAAGGAACCUUAAACCCUCUGAGGGAAAACCGCUGCCAAUACAGGGAAAAGUCUGUUACAGUUUGAACAAGCUUAGAGAUGAAACCCAAAUAUUUGGAGGAAUGGCUGCAAAGACAGCAAAAAUUAAAGUACGAUGCAAAGAGAUAUUUGGAAUGGUUUCCUACUUUGUAGGGAUCUGAAGAUAAACACUUCCUAAGAAUAAGAAUGGUGAAGUAAUACCAGAGUCCUUAUCUGAAAUCUCUUAAAAUGUUAAAUUGAAUGUUAUCAGUUUUUUUCCAUGACAAGAUUUAUGUCAGCCUGUAUGUGUAACAAGGUAGUGUAACAGGUGAGAUUAUCUAUGGAAUCGUGUCCAGCUGGGACUUUUUCCUCUGUAGCAUUUACAGAGGGCAUCAACCUCAGGCCAUGGAAAACAGAAUACUGAAGGCAGGGCACCUAGUCGGGUCAUGGUGAGAAGAGUGUGGUCAUGGGAGUCAAUGUUAAUGGAACUAUUCUAGAUUAGGUCAUGUUUCUGGUUUUUGUUUUUAGUUUGCAACCUGUUACAAAUAAGGUCAUGUUCCGAGUUCGUGACUGGACACUUGCCUUCAGAUACCUCUGUACCUGGGUGCAUUUGGUGUGCCCACAGGUCUUUGGCUCUUGCUCCUCAGAUAAUUAGGUUUUUCCAUUUUUUAUUUCGCUAUUAAAGAUUCUUUAUUUUUUUGCAAGUUCAUUGUACCCGUUCCUCUAGUUUAUGCCAUGCAGGAUUCAUCCUGGCCAAGCAGGAUUCAGGAUAGCAGUGAGUUGGACUGCAAUAAUUAUCAGAUAGAAGCAACCCUUAACCAGAUUUGGUUUGUGACAAAUCUACAUUUGUGACUUUACAAAUCACUAUAAAAGUAACAGAUGCUUUACUUCAGGGCAUUUCUGUUUCACUUGUGAGGCAUUCAGUGUUGGUUAUGGUCAGAGAAAAUUCAGAUGCACUAUGGGGCUGAUAGUGCAGUUGUGGCAAAAUGACAAAAAUAAUUUGUAUGUGAAUUUAUUGCUCUUGAAGAUGCUGGCUUAAAUGGCAUAAUAUACAACAAAUUCACCUUUAGACAUGCAGCCUCCAAACAUGGAAAAGUAGUUUGGUUACUGUACAGCUAAGAGAGAAUGUUUACCAAUGGAGGAAAAAUUACUCCUCUUUCUCCUUGAGAUUGAAUGCCAUUUGUUGAAAAUUUUAGAGAUUGUUUUCUUCAGUCUUAUUUUUCAUUCUGGGCUGAAUUCAAAGGGGUUGUGAGACCUAGAUCAGUGAGUUUGUGCUUGAAACCAUGCAGGCUAGUUGACCUUAGUUAGAAUUUUUUGGUGAGAAUGGAGGUGCUGGAGAUGCUUAUUUUUGGUGAGAUGAAACAUCCUACAUUUGAGAAUAAGCCGUCUGUUAAGUUCGUCUCUUCCUAAGCUGGCAGUGAUGGGAUGACAGCUCUGCAUGAACAGUAAGGACUUUCCUGUGCUCUGUUCUGCCACAGAGACAUCUGUGUGUGGAUUUUUUAGACUUUUGGUGGGUUUGUUAAACUUGGUGUUUUAAAUUCUGUAACCAGUGGGUAUAUUUGUUAGUGUGACACGUCACACACAUCUAUCCAAAUACAGCAGUGAGUGAUUUAUUUGUGAGGUCAAACCUGUUACAGAAGGCGCUGUCUCUCUGAUGGGUUCAAGGUGCUUUUCAAUGAAUCAUUGCUCUAAUAAAUCAUAUUGUAUAUAUACUGGCAUAUCCAAGUCAGGAUAUUAAUUCCCCAGCAGUGCCUGUCAUGAAUAUGGAGUUUAAAAGACCUGAGAUGAAUAAAGCAUAUGGCCUUUACAUUUCAAGACUCUAUCUGUAAUUCACUAUACUUUCUUCUUGAUGCACAGACAAAGGUGAAUUAGUUCCAGACAAAAAUGCAUCAAUGCUCUAUUGAAUAGUCAAUUAUUAAACAUGUAAUGGGAUCUCUGGUUAUCAAAGCAUGCUCAGUAUGUGCACAGAGUACAUAAUUUGCCCCAGAAUGGAGCAGAAUUGGUCUAUUUUGAAAAAAAAUCCAGGCAAAAUUAUAUUAAUAUGGAAUUAAAACAAGUUAUUGCUGCUGCUGUAGAAUGAAUGGGCUUACUUGACUUCAUUACCAUCCCAAAGACCUAAUUUCAGAGUCUUAUUAUAUGUACAAACCUAGAAAAAAUACCAGUAAACAACAUUAUUUUCCUUGCCAUCAAGAAAUAGUCUGUCCAAUUUAUUGUGUUCUGUUUAGUGGAGAAAUAAUGUUUUUGACAAGCCUACGUGAAGGCAAAUGUUCUCACAAAAAUGUCCUGGCAACACAGUGACUUGCUUGUAUAAAAUAAAAAAAAGGAAGUUAUUGCUGAACAAUGAGGAAAAUACUCAAUGAAUGUCACCUGGAUGAGGUUUUAAGUAUUUUUCAUUUCCCUAAAUUUUGUUCAGGAGAAAAAGUAUUUGACUGUUUGAUUGUUGACAUUGUCAUCAACUAGAAACAUUAUUCAAGCUGCGGCUGUUUAUUAUUUCACUGCAAUUAUGUACCAUAAUUACUGCAUUGGACCAUUCAUCUAUUGCAUAUUUUUGAUUUGUAUUAGGAAAGCUGCAGAUUUAUUGCAGUGUAUGAAAGGCACCAUUUAAAUCAACAGACAGGUGGGGUUUAGGGAAACUUCAUUCUCAGUUGCAUUAAAUGUAAUUAUGAAUAUAGUUGAUUGCAUUGUUCCUGUAUAUAUUUUCAUGAUUUAUUUGUUUAAAAAAAGUAUUUUUUGCUCUGUGACUUCCAAAAAUACUUUUUACUAAUAUUUUUUGU